UACGUAGGGGGCAAGCGUUGUCCGGAUUUAUUGGGCGUAAAGAGCGUGUAGGCGGCCAUACAGGUCCGUUGUGAAAACUGGAGGCUUAACCUCCAGACGUCGAUGGAAACCGUAUGGCUAGAGUCCGGAAGAGGAGAGUGGAAUUCCCGGUGUAGCGGUGAAAUGCGCAGAUAUCGGGAGGAACACCAGUAGCGAAGGCGGCUCGCUGGGCCAUUCCUGACGCUGAGACGCGAAAGCUAGGGGAGCGAACAGG
rnacentral:rRNA from 1 species